AAUUUUCAACCUUCAUCUUUUGCUAUGAAAGAAGAUGGUUUGGACUUUUGGAAGCUGCUGGAUGACACAUUUCAGCUCUUCUCAAAUACAUUAGCAGGAUUGCCUCUUGACAAUUCGUUGGUAUGAUAAUUAUCUAUACCUAUCAGAAUGUCUGGACCCAUGGCGUCAUGCUUAUAACUGUCUGCAAAGACAUUUAUUUGAACAA
rnacentral:misc_RNA from 1 species